rnacentral:rRNA from 1 species
GAUGAACGCUGGCGGCGUGCCUAAUACAUGCAAGUCGAGCGAACAGACGAGGAGCUUGCUCCUCUGACGUUAGCGGCGGACGGGUGAGUAACACGUGGAUAACCUACCUAUAAGACUGGGAUAACUUCGGGAAACCGGAGCUAAUACCGGAUAAUAUAUUGAACCGCAUGGUUCAAUAGUGAAAGACGGUUUUGCUGUCACUUAUAGAUGGAUCCGCGCCGCAUUAGCUAGUUGGUAAGGUAACGGCUUACCAAGGCAACGAUGCGUAGCCGACCUGAGAGGGUGAUCGGCCACACCGGAACUGAGACACGGUCCAGACUCCUACGGGAGGCAGCAGUAGGGAAUCUUCCGCAAUGGGCGAAAGCUUGACGGAGCAACGCCGCGUGAGUGAUGAAGGUCCUCGGAUCGUAAAACUCUGUUAUUAGGGAAGAACAAAUGUGUAAGUAACUAUGCACGUCUUGACGGUACCUAAUCAGAAAGCCACGGCUAACUACGUG